UACGUAGGGAGCAAGCGUUGUUCGGAGUUACUGGGCGUAAAGGGCGCGUAGGCGGCAUGACAAGUCACUUGUGAAAUCUCUGGGCUUAACCCAGAACGGCCAAGUGAUACUGUCGCGCUAGAGUGCAGAAGGGGCAAUCGGAAUUCUUGGUGUAGCGGUGAAAUGCGUAGAUAUCUGGAGGAACACCCGUGGUGCAGACGGCUUGCUGGACCGUGACUGACGCUGAGGCACGAAAGCGUGGGUAGCAAACAGG
rnacentral:rRNA from 1 species